rnacentral:rRNA from 1 species
UACGUAGGGUGCGAGCGUUAAUCGGAAUUACUGGGCGUAAAGCGUGCGCAGGCGGCGCGUUAAGACAGGUGUGAAAGCCCCCGAGCUUAACUUGGGAAUUGCGCUUGUGACUGGCGUGCUGGAGUGUGGCAGAGGGAGGUGGAAUUCCACGUGUAGCAGUGAAAUGCGUAGAGAUGUGGAGGAACACCGAUGGCGAAGGCAGCCUCCUGGGCCAGCACUGACGCUCAUGCACGAAAGCGUGGGGGAGCAAACAGG